rnacentral:rRNA from 1 species
AUUCAUAGGGGGCAAGCGUUAUCCGGAAUUAUUGGGCGUAAAGCGUGCGUAGGCGGUUUAUUAAGUCUGAUGUUAAAUCCCACAGCUCAACUGUGGGCCGCCAUUGGAAACUGGUAGACUUGAGGGCGGUAGAGGGAAGUGGAAUUCCAAGUGGAGCGGUGAAAUGCAUAGAUAUCACUCAGAACACCGAUUGCGAAGGCAUCCGGCGAGGCCGUUACUGACGCUGAGGCACGAAAGCGUGGGGAUAGAACAGGAUUAGAUACCCUGGUAUUCCACGCCGUAAACGAUGAUGACUAACUGCCGGGGGGAGACUUCCGGCAGCCAAGCGAAAGCGAUAAGUCAUCCACCUGGGGAGUACGGCCGCAAGGCUGAAACUCAAAUGAAUUGGCGGGG